rnacentral:rRNA from 1 species
GAUGAACGCUGGCGGCGUGCCUAAUACAUGCAAGUCGAGCGAACAGACGAGGAGCUUGCUCCUCUGACGUUAGCGGCGGACGGGUGAGUAACACGUGGAUAACCUACCUAUAAGACUGGGAUAACUUCGGGAAACCGGAGCUAAUACCGGAUAAUAUAUUGAACCGCAUGGUUCAAUAGUGAAAGACGGUUUUGCUGUCACUUAUAGAUGGAUCCGCGCCGCAUUAGCUAGUUGGUAAGGGAACGGCUUACCAAGGCAACGAUGCGUAGCCGACCUGAGAGGGUGAUCGGCCACACUGGAACUGAGACACGGUCCAGACUCCUACGGGAGGCAGCAGUAGGGAAUCUUCCGCAAUGGGCGAAAGCCUGACGGAGCCACGCCGCGUGAGUGAUGAAGGUCUUCGGAUCGUAAAACUCUGUUAUUAGGGAAGAACAAAUGUGUAAGUAACUAUGCACGUCUUGACGGUACCUAAUCAGAAAGCCACGGCUAACUACGUG